rnacentral:rRNA from 1 species
GAUGAACGCUGACAGAAUGCUUAACACAUGCAAGUCUUUGGCGAAGCUGUGCUUGCACAGCCUAGCCAAGGCGGACGGGUGAGUAACGCGUAAGGAACUUGCCCUGCAGUCAGGGAUAACAGACGGAAACGACUGAUAAGACCUGGUAAAGUCAGGCGGACUCAUGUCCAGCCUGAUGAAAAGAGAUGCUGCAGGAGAGCCUUGCGUCCUAUUAGCUUGUUGGUGGGGUAACGGCCCACCAAGGCGAUGAUAGGUAGCCGGCCUGAGAGGGUGGACGGCCACAAGGGGACUGAGAUACGGCCCUUACUCCUACGGGAGGCAGCAGUGGGGAAUAUUGGACAAUGGGGGCAACCCUGAUCCAGCAAUACUGUGUGCACGAUGAAGGUUUUCGGAUUGUAAAGUGCUUUCAGCAGGGAAGAAAAAAAUGACGGUACCUGCAGAAGAAGCGACGGCUAAAUACGUG